rnacentral:rRNA from 1 species
AGCUCCAAUAGCGUAUAUUAAAGUUGCUGCAGUUAAAAAGCUCGUAGUUGGAUCUCGGGGUACCUGGUCUAGCCGGUAUAGCUCACGCUAAAACUGGUCUGACCCCCCAACGUGAGGUAUUCGUCUCCGGGUGCACUUCAUUGGGUGCUCGUGAGGGGCCUCGUAGUUACUGUGAAAAAAAUAGAGUGUUCAAAGCAGGCUCAUAUGUUUGGAUAGUCGUGCAUGGAAUAACUGAAUACGUGACUGGCGCUUUUCAGUUGGUCUCAGCGCCUGGUCAACUGAUUAAGAGGGACUUCCGGGGGCAUUGGUAUGGCGGGGUUAUAGGUGAAAUUCUUGUAUCCUCGCCAGACCAACAAAAACGAAAGCAUUUGCCAAGAAUGUCUUCA